UGAAGUUCUGACUGUGUUCAUCCAUUCUUCUCCUGAGUUUAGUGAACAUAAAAUUACGACCAUUACUUUGAAUGCUUUAUCAGUUGAUGAAGAUGUGCUGAGAUCUGUGAAUUUUCUAGAAGGAGGGAUCUUAGCACCUAGUUUCAGGCUGGUUGGAAGCUCGAUCCUCAAGCAGCAGCUAUUAAGAGAAGGUGUUGCUGUUUCUGCUGAAAUCACAUGGUCACCCAUCUGUCCAUGGUCCCAGUUCAAGUGUGUAUGAUUCUGCCAGUCCCUUUCUGAGAGCUGUGGUUUUGUGGUGAAAGCAGCAGUCUGGAUCUGCCUUCAGGUGCAGACAUUCAGCCCUCACGCUGACAUCUUUCACAGUUGAGUUGUCUUCACGACCAGCCCCAAAUUCCUGGCACCAGUGAAGGAAUCCGU